rnacentral:rRNA from 1 species
ACGGGAGGCAGCAGUGGGGAAUAUUGCACAAUGGGGGGAACCCUGAUGCAGCGACGCCGCGUGAAGGAUGAAGUAUUUCGGUAUGUAAACUUCUAUCAGCAGGGAAGAAAAUGACGGUACCUGACUAAGAAGCCCCGGCUAACUACGUGCCAGCAGCCGCGGUAAUACGUAGGGGGCAAGCGUUAUCCGGAUUUACUGGGUGUAAAGGGAGCGUAGACGGUAUGGCAAGUCUGAAGUGAAAACCCAGGGCUCAACCUUGGGACUGCUUUGGAAACUGUUAAACUAGAGUGUCGGAGAGGCAAGUGGAAUUCCUAGUGUAGCGGUGAAGUGCGUAGAUAUUAGGAGGAACACCAGUGGCGAAGGCGGCUUACUGGACUGUAACUGACGUUGAGGCUCGAAAGCGUGGGGAGCAAACAGGAUUAGAUACCCUGGUA